rnacentral:rRNA from 1 species
GACGAACGCUGGCGGCGUGCUUAACACAUGCAAGUCGAACGGAAAGGCCCUGCUUUUGUGGGGUGCUCGAGUGGCGAGCGGGUGAGUAACACGUGAGUAACCUGCCCUUGACUUUGGGAUAACUUCAGGAAACUGGGGCUAAUACCGGAUAGGAGCUCCUGCUGCAUGGUGGGGGUUGGAAAGUUUCGGCGGUUGGGGAUGGACUCGCGGCUUAUCAGCUUGUUGGUGGGGUAGUGGCUUACCAAGGCUUUGACGGGUAGCCGGCCUGAGAGGGUGACCGGCCACAUUGGGACUGGGAUACGGCCCAGACUCCUACGGGAGGCAGCAGUGGUGAAUAUUGCACAAUGGGCGGAAGCCUGAUGCAGCAACGCCGCGUGCGGGAUGACGGCCUUCGGGUUGUAAACCGCGUUCGCCUGUGACGAAGCGUGAGUGACGGUAAUGGGUAAAGAAGCACCGGCUAACUACGUG